rnacentral:tRNA from 1 species
GGAGAGGUGUCUGAGUGGUCGAAGGUGCCGCUCUCGAAAAGCGGUGUACCCGCAAGGGUACCGAGGGUUCGAAUCCCUCCCUCUCCGCCA